CCCAUACUUAUAAAUAUUAAAUAGUCAGUAUAACAUUGUAAAACAAGCUUAAUACAAACAAUAUGCACUGAAUAUUAUCAGAAUAAUUCUCAAUAUUGUUUCAUGAAAGGGAAGCGAUAUAUAAAUGCCUAGUCCCUAGCGAAUAUAUAAAUAAAUGCCUUGUCUCGGUCUGCGCCGAAUUUGUUCAGUCUUUUCUUAAUAGCCUAGAAGUCAAACAAGCCCAGGACACAAUAAAGCAUGCAAGCUUUUAGUAUUCAUCUUUACAUGAAUACUAUAUUAUUUUACUGUAAAAAGUCAACAAGGAUACAAAAUACAUGACACUUCUAUCUCCACAUUGCCGCAAUUCCGAAGCGGGAUUACAAACGGGAAGUGUAGUUUAUGGAAGCUUGUCAAUCACUUCAUUUGAGUCAGUUAUCAACCAAUCAGAGCUCUGCGUCCAAACAUUGGACGCAUGCAAGUAAACAUCAUAGGGAUCGUUGCAGGCUCUCUUUCACCCAGAGAGCCUGCUCGCAGGCUACAACUUGCAUUAAUUGGGUGGAGAAAUAUAAUUCUCUCGUGCCGUCAAACUGUCUUUCUUUUUGAUUGUCCAAAUUUAUUAGUACCGUUAACCGAAUUAAGUAAACUUACCAACUAGAAAUACAUGCAUGCAGCAACUCCUCACCUAUAUUUUCCAAACAUUGAUUUAACGUGAAGUAUUGGGAAUUGAUCGACACUGAACGCAGGCUCGCGUUUAUGUCAGUGUUGCCAUGGCUGUAAACUUGCACGUUUUAUUUGAAACUAGCUUUAUUGAAAAUAUGUUACAAUAUGGCGGCUAUGGUGAGUACGCGUGUUUAUAUAACAGUAGGAGACUGGAUCUAGUAUUCCGUACAGGAAGUUAAUAUAACCGGAAGUGUGACAUCCCCCUUUCUUUCUUUUUUUUUUAAAGUUUUUUUCUAAUUAAAAAUUACUUUAAAUAAUUGGAAUAAUGUCUCGGAAUAAUGUCUACCUACAGAAAAAUAACGUAAUGUAUAUAUUGUCAGUAAUCUGCUUGAAGUGGUCCCUAAGGUGCACUGGAACUUGUCGCGGUGGGUGGAUAACUGGUUCUGCAUCUGGUUCUAAGGUGAUAUGGUAUGGCCUCA